rnacentral:rRNA from 1 species
AGCGCAGGCGGUUUUUUAAGUCUGAUGUGAAAGCCUUCGGCUUAACCGAAGAAGUGCAUUAGAAACUGGGAAACUUGAGUGCAGAAGAGGACAGUGGAACUCCAUGUGUAGCGGUGAAAUGCGUAGAUAUAUGGAAGAACACCAGUGGCGAAGGCGGCUGUCUGGUCUGUAACUGACGCUGAGGCUCGAAAGCGUGGGAGCAAACA